rnacentral:rRNA from 1 species
AUUCAGAGGGUGCGAGCGUUAGUCGGAAUUACUGGGCGUAAAGCGCGCGUAGGCGGCUUAUUAAGUCAGAUGUGAAAUCCCCGGGCUCAACCUGGGAACUGCAUCUGAUACUGGUAAGCUAGAGUUUUGGAGAGGGAAGUAGAAUUUCAGGUGUAGCGGUGAAAUGCAUAGAGAUCUGAAGGAAUACCAGUGGCGAAGGCGACUUCCUGGCCAAAAACUGACGCUGAGGUGCGAAAGCGUGGGUAGCAAACGGGAUUAGAAACCCUAGUAGUCC